ACUACCGAGUGCCCUGGAGGCUCUGAAGUUCUGGAAGCUUCCCUGUCCCUUACUGCCAAGCCUCCCUGUCUCCUGCAGCUGCCGGGGCUGGUGGACUACAGGAAGGGAGCUCCCAGGCUGAAGGCACAGGCUCGAGACUUUAGCAUCCUUGGGGACCCCACCUUUCCUUACCUUAGGUGAAUUGCACCAUGACCCUGUCCUUAGAUUUCCCAAGAGGAUCUAAAAGAUUCCAGAAUCCCAGGGUUUGAACUUGUGUCAUCCAAGGAGCUCAAGCACUCACUCAUAUGGUAAGUCCAGCGCUCUUGUUCACCCGGGACUGGGUGGAGAAGGAUUGAGGGAGAAGCAUCUGGCCUGACUGCAAAUAGUAUAGGGUUUCUUUUGGGGGUAAUGGAAAUGUUCUAGAAUUAGAUUGCGGUGAUGGUUGCAUAACAUAGCAAGAAUACUAAAACCCACCAAAUUAUAUGCUUUAAAACGGUGCAUUUAAUGUUAUGGGAAUUACAUUUCAAUAAAAAGAAAAUAGGUAAAAAGAAAGAAAGCAAACAUUUGCCCAGGUUAAGAGCAACAGGUUCUGAGAAUGAAGUUCCCCUUCCAUCUGUGUUCAGCGCAGGUGGGCUCAGGAGACCAGCAUACUCACGAUGCCUCACUUAGACCUCUGUUGCCCAAACCUUACACUGCAGGGCAAAGCUACCACUAUGGACCCUUUGGGAAACCAGCGUGUUCACUGUAUGACACAGAGUUACUUUUGCAUCCUGAUGUACUUUGGGGUCCCAGGCGUGGAACCUGAUUUCAUACAUGAUGUGGCAGAUACUGGUGGCUGCCUACCCAAUCCCCAGUCCCCUGUUCUUCCUUACUAAACAGUACCCUUGCUUUUAUUCUAGGCAUCAAUGCCCUUAGCUAAAAGACUACAUUUCCCAUUGGCCAAGGGUUGCCAAUGAGCAUGAAGCUGCAGGCCCUUGGGUGGGGCUUCCAGGAAAGCUCUUUUAAAGGGGGUCAACUCACUAAAGGCCCCUCUCUCUUCUUUGCCUUCCCUCCUUCCUGUCUGGGACACAAAUGUGAUGGCUGGAGCUCUAGCAGCUAUCUUGGAUCAUGAGAUGAGACAACUUUGAGGAUGGAAACCAUGGUUGAGGAAGAGGAAGAGCAAGAGUGAGAAGUCAGUUAGCUUCUCUGGACUUGUCUUUCCUCAUCCACCAGAUGGAGGAGUUGAACCCAAUGACCUGGAUGUUCUUGGUGAUGGAAGUUCACUCCUGCACACACCAGCUUGGCAUCUUCUUUGCAAUAGAAGCCCAACCGGGGAGGCUGCAAAUGUUAGAAUCCAAUCUGUACUGACAGGUCUUGAAUGCUUUAGGUGCCACACUGGCUGGCCAUUAAGGGUCGUGAUGAAAAAUCCCAGGAAGCUGAAGAGUGAACAUGAUCAUAAUCUCUAAAAUGGUAAGUAGAGUGGAUACAGUGGACAUGCACAUAUUGUUUCAAAUUCUGGAGGAAUUUCAUAGGAAAGAAGCUUAUGGAAUCAUUAUCCCAAGAGGUGGUAGUGCCUGCAAAAGUGAUUUCAAAGAUUAAGAUACUUGCGGAGAUGACAGUUAUAAUUGGCUAUUAAAGAGAAUGAAGUGCUUUGGGUGGUGCACCCCAGAGGCCGCUGGCAGGGCGGUACGUUUCCAGCUUCCUAGGCAGAGAGUCAUACCUGGCAUGGCCUUUCUCGCAUCCUUGGGAGGCAGUUUGCUCCAAGAGAUGCAUCUUGUUUUCAGGACACAUUCCCAUUGACUUUUUUUUUUUUUUUAAACAAAAAAAAAGCCUUUAUUGUUGACUGGGCUCAGGAAGUGGUUCUCACUGGGGGUCUCUUGUGAGGUUGCAAUAAGACAUUGAUGGGCGCUCCAGGCAUCUCAAAGGCUGUCUGCUAAUGCUGUUUGCUAGGACUUCCACUGGGGCUGAGGAGUGGAACACAUAUACUCAGCCUCUCCAAGGUCGCCUGGGUUUCUUCACAACAUGGCAGUGAGGACUGAAGAGCAAGUGCCCCGAGAGAGCCAGGCUAAAGUACCUUUCAUAGUCUAGCCUUGGAACAUACACAGUGUCACUUGGCUGUGUUCUGUUCUUUUCCUUAGAAAUGUGUCCCUAAGUCUAGCUCAUAUUCAAGGCUAGGGGAUUAGACUUCACCUCUUGAGGGGAGACCCAUUGACUUGGGAAAGAAAAAACUUGGUUGUCAUUUUAUUAUUAUCACAUAUUGAUAAUCAUUAUACCUAACAUUCCCUCUGUUCCAUCCAUUCAAUGAGUCAAGCAUUCAUUCAUUUAGCAAAUACUUAUAGUUAGGCAUUUUGGCCACACUUACAUCUGAAUAGGGCUUCACGGUUUUCAGACGAACUUCAUAUCCAGUAUUUGACUUGGUAUUCUUAACAACCAUGUGUGAGGGCUAGGUGUGUUUAAUUACUUCCAUUUUUCAGAUAAAGCAAUAAGAGGCUGGGAGAUGCAUCCAAAGUCUCUGUGCCUGGUCCAGAGGUCAUUCAAACCCAGCUUUGUCCUGGAAGCACGUUCUUUCCACUCACCACCCAGAACACCAUCUUCCUCUCUCUCUCAAAAUAUCCAAGACUGGAGAGGAGGAUAGACAGCCAGAUAGACUUGCUCUGAGGUACCAUGACUUUUGCAUGGCGUGACCACAGUUGGGGCCUUUUAGGGUGAAAGGCAGCACUAUUAAUAAUUACCCUGGGGUGGCAGGCAUGAACCAGGAUACUGUACAGAGGGUCACUUCACCCACAGAUGGUCAAAUAACUGGAACCCAAGUAUCUUGUGCUUUUCUGUAAAAUCAUGCCUUAUUUUUUAAACUUCCUAUCUCUUUGAGCAAAACCAACAAAUGCUAUCAGAGCCACAAGGAUUUGAGUGACCCACAGCUCCCCAGGAGAAGGCACGAGGGCAUCUACGUGCAUACAUGCAACUGCUCGGCUGGCUCCUGGAACCCGGCCCAUUCCACAUGAACUGAAGAUAAAUCUCACUGGUGACCACCUGAAGGGUGAGUUGGAUGGGGGACAGAGUGGACACUGGAGACUCUGGAAAGAUGUUGGUUGGAGAGCACCGUCAUGACCCCCUGUCCUUUCCUCUCUGCUGGGAUCAUUGACCAAGGCUGAGCAGUCCCAAGAUCUGAAGUUCAAAGGCUGAGAACCAGGAGAGCCAAUGGGGCAAGUUCCAGUCCAAGUUCCAAGGCAGGAGAUCAGUAUUCCAGCUCCAAGGCCAUUAGCUUAUGGGUCACUAGGCCUUGAGAAGGCACAUUUGGACCUACGAUCCUGGACUUUGAGCUAGAUGCGGCAACUGGAUCGGGUAUUAGGAUGUUGGGAUCUCUGGGUAGGCUGUGGCAGACACUGUAGGAUCCUCGGUGAACAUUCACCCCACUUUCCUUUGGCCUCUUCUUUCUUGCUUACUGGUUUUGCUGGGGGUGAGUAGCAUUUGCCCAGCAGAAAGUUAUGAGUAGUGAUGGAUUUAUCCUAAUCCAGAAGCCUUCGGAGCAAUGGUUUGCUUUUCUGGUAAAAAGAACAGAUGAAACUGGUCCAUUCUUUCUCUCAUCUUUCUACCUUGAUGCAGGCAAGCUGCCUGGAGCUGCAACAGCUGUCUGGUAAUGAUAAGGUGACAACUAAGGAUGACAGGGCAGGACAGGAAAAAGGAGGCUGGCUGGGCCUCUGGUCUUACUGAGCUGCUGUAUCAGCUCUGCAAUUCUGAUUUCCAGAGUUCUUGUUAUGUGAUAUAAUUAAGUCUUUAUUGCUGAAGCCACUAUUAACAUCUAUAUUCCAUUGCUUACAGCUGGGAGCAUUCCUAAUGUAUACACAUGAAUGGCCAAAGUCUCCUUUCUCAAUGUUUUUAAAAGUGUCAUAAGCUCUGAUCAGUUCAAACAACCAAUCUCAGGUUCCUCUCCUACUUUCCUUCAGGAUUGAUUACCCAAACCACCCUACUUGCUGUGUCAGUUUUCAAGAACUGUGAAGGGUCUGAGAUUUUAUACUGCUUGCAAGCUAAUAAGUCAGCUUGACAGAAUUUUAUGGAUGCUGGCAAAAGACGUGAGCCUCCUGGUUCAGAGACAAAGGACUUUGUUACUCAUUGCAAUGACUGUGGCCAGAAUAUCAUCAUUUAUACCGCUUCCCUGAGCCCCAGGGAUGUGAAGAUGUUUAGGUGAUACCUUUAUACAAAGUGGAGUUCAUUUCAAGAGAGAAAUCCCAAGCCUAAGUAACCUAAAUCUUUUAUAAUGAGUUUAAUUCAGCCUGUCCAACUUACACCCUGGAAGGAGACAUUAUCUUUGUUAUUCUGCAUAGAGAACAAAUAUGCCUUGGCUUCUCCUUCUGAGGACCUAUCUCUGUUUUCCAAAGCUGUUCAUUCUAUAAACAUCCUUGGAAAGAUACCCUGGAAUAAAGACAGUGAUAACCUCUGCUCUAAGACAUGCACAAAGCUGAGAAACCCAUGGAAAUUGUCUCCCAAUAUUAGACUGUAUUCUUAGUUGCAAGUAAUAGAAAUGGACUCUGGCUGGUUUAAGCAAAAGGAACUUGUUAAACCAAUGUAAGAUACAGCCACUUUAGAGAACUACAUAUAUGGCAAUAUCUAGUUAGCCUGGGGAGGCUCAUAGGGAAAGACCUAUCAAUUCUACUCCUAGGAAUAUACCAUCUAGGAACCCUGGCACACAAAGACCAGAAGAGAUGUGUCGGAGUCUACAGCAGUAUUCUUUAUAUUAACAUAACAUUAGAAAUAACUCAAAUGUCUGGCUAUAAGGGAAUGUACAAAUUGUGAUACAUACUUUCAGUGGAAUUCUCUUAGAGUCACAGGAAUAAAAAUGAGUGAACUAAUAGCCACAUGCAUCAUCCUGGAAUAAUUAAUAAUCAUAGUGUUGAGUGAGAAAAAGCCAGUUUCAGAAGGAUAUGUAGAGUAUGACACCAUUUAUGUGAAGUUUAAGGAUAUACAGGAUGGCCAGGCACUGUGGCUCACGCCUGUAAUCCCAGCUCUUGGGGAGGCAGAGGCAGGAGGAGAGCUUGAGCCCGGGAGUUUGAGACCUGCCUGGGCAAUAUAGCGAGACGCUGUUCGAAAAGAAAAACAAAAGAAUAUACAGGAUGACGCCAUGUCAUGCUCAGGGUUCCCUAAUAUAUAGUAAAGUAUUAAAGGUGCAUGAAAAUGGGAAUACCAAUUCCAAGCAGUAUGUUGUCUCUCCAUGGGGAGGCAAGCAGAAUUUAACUAAUUUAUCCAAGCUUCACAUUUAAGUUUUAUUAUUGAUUAAAAUUCUCUAAGAAAUAAUGUUGAUUAGCUUAGUAGAAGGAUAGAGACAUGCAAGCCUGAGCUCAGAGGCCACCGAGCCAGGACCAAGGGAUAUAAUCCCAGAGCAUUCCAGUACAGAGUGGGUCUAGGGAGGACACAGCUGUUGUCUUGCUGAAGACUACACCCUUGGUACCAGCACCAGGAGCCCUGGCUCUGGACACGGGUUGCCGCCCUAGCAGUUCACCACUCUUCCUCCAGGGACUCAAAUAUUGUUGAGAAUCAUCUGUGGUCCUUGCUUCCUUGCCUCACACACCUGUUUCAAAGUCUAGGCCGUGAGAUCGUGCUCUAGCAGCAGGAGGACUGGGAAGGUAACCAGCUGGCGUUUUGGGCCCCUGUAGUGGGAGGUAGCCUCUGCCUCUCACUAAAAUUCAUAAGAUUGGGAACACCUCAAACAUUGAAAGGAGGUUCAGAGGCUGGGUGCUCCAAAGAGUGACAAUUCAUGACAAAGAUCAAUCCAUGUGGUCAGGUGGAGUGUGUAAGGAAAUCAUCCUAGGAAACAGGAAUAGAAGAAGUGAUAACAUUGAGGUGGUGUUUUUCUAGAUAGUACGAGGAAAACAGUAUGAGAUAAAAUUUCGUAAGCUGAACUUUACCUGGUUAUGAGGAGUACUGAAAUGUCAAUUCCUCUGUCCAUGGUUGUUUUCUAAUGAGUUAUUUUUUUAAUUAAACUGAAGCGAUCUCCUUUGUUAGUCUGUAAGCUCUUCAAAGUCUAGGACCAUUCCUUACUUUGGAGAGAUGCCAUAUUUGCUCUGGGAAGCCAAGGGCAUUUAGGGCAGAGGGAACUGGGCAUGAAUCCUGAGUCUGCUGCUGCUUAGCUGAAUGGCAGUGGCUCCAUUAGACAGCCAUUCUCAGUCUUGGCAUGUUUGAAGCCAUUCCUGUACACUUUAUAAAAUUAGUCAUGGAAGAAGGAACAGGAAGAAACUAAGAUAAAUACUGAGUGUGCCUGCUUGCAGCACACCCAGUAUUAAUCAUGAGGGCAGCCUGCUCUCUGACCUGCUUCCUCCUAGCUGUUUGGUGCAUGUUGCCUCAGAAUCACAUAGACCCUGCAAGAUUGUAGUUCCCCUUAACUGCUCUAUAGAUAACAGCUUGAAUGUUACAAAGUGUUACAUUUUCCAUUUGAGAUAUUCUUUCAGGUUCUGCAUACCAAUGAAGCUACUGACGUCAGCUGGCCUGAAGGACCUCACAGGAGCUGACUCACCGAAGAAUGCAGUUUCCACAUUCUGAUGAUUUCAUCCUCUCUCCUCUAACCAAUCAAUGACCUCAAUUUUCCAGUUCCUUGCCCUCCAUGGUCGCUUAAAAAAACCCAGUCUAGAGCUCCUCAGGGUGAUGGAUAUGAGGGCCUCCUUCCAUCUCCUUGCUUAGAGCCCUGUGAUCAUUAAACUCUUUCUCUGCUGCAAACUCUGCUGUCUCAGUGUAAUUGGUAUGUUACUGUGCAAUGGGCAUACCAACCUGUUGGUCCUGUAAUAUCCUCACGAGCAAAAUGGAGCUUGCAUCCACUUCUCUGUGUGGUAAAGAUGAAAUUCAACAUGAAUAAAAUGAUGUUCAGUAGAUGUUCAGUAAAUAUUUCUUCCUUUCCCUUAGGUCCUUCGGCCCUUUCUGUUUCUCUUUAGGAUGUAGCACUGGGCUUAGAAAGCCCUUGGCUGGUGUUUGCUGAAUGAACUUGGCUUCAUCAUAACAUUUGUGGACAUGCUUCUUCCCUUUCUGUUUAUAGCUGCCAUGUGUGAGCUUAUCUAUAGCCCUUUUGCCAGCUUGGUAUAAUUCUGUUUUUCAUGGGCAGCCUUUAGAAAAUUCUUAUGUGCCAAGAUGACUUCACUGUUGCUUGUUUUCUUCAUUCACUAAACAAUUCAUUUAACAAAUGGAAAGACCAGAUAUGUGCUUGGCUCCAGUGGUAAAUAACAUGGAUUUCACUGCCAUGAAACUGGCAGCUACAAUCAGAGGGACAGGCUUGACAAUCUGCCCCCCCUAGAAUGGUGAACUCAGACAGUGCACAGCUCUCACGGCCACCUAACCCAGCAGUUCAACAUAUGCAAUUUUAUUCUGCUGUCAUGCCAUAUAAUUCUCAGGGUUUUCUAAAACAAAACAAAAAAAAAGAAGUUUUCAGUUAAUUACUAUUUAAUCAUCUUAUCAAUAUUUUGAGAAAAUGACAUUCCUACACAUAUUUCCCAACAUGCCCAAAGCUCAGCUUUUAUUUACUUUUAUUUACCAAGUCUCAGUGGUCUUUUGGGUAGGAAUUAGCCAGGUCCCGUUUUAAAUUUCUUGCUUCAUGUAGUUUCGAAAAGCUCUACUUCCAGUUUUAUCCCUACCUCUUCCCGCUGAGAAGGAUCAUGAAUACAACAACUGCCUCUAAGCACUGAUUAUGAAGACGGCAGUGAAAUUACUGUAUCAACAGUCUCAUUAAUCCAAUCACUCGAGAUGAACCCUGGUGGAAAUUAAUAGUGGCUGUAAUGUAGCAGGGGAUUGGCCCACUGGAAGCACAGGAUGGACUGCUGAGCCCAUCUGGCUCCAAAUUCUGAUGUUCGAUCCUGCGGGGGAAGGGAGGGAAGAUGGGAAGGCACAGGCUUCCCGCAAGGCUGUUGAAAAGAGGUCUUUGAGGAAUCACCACACAGUCCUCCAUGAUGGCUGAAGUAAUUUGCGAUCUGUUUGGAUUAUUUUAAGACAAAGGACCUCUGCCGGAGGUUGCGUUGUCUGUUGGGUUUGGGGUGUUCGUUGCAUUUGUCUCUGCAUGUCUGUGUCCAUUCUCUGUCUGUGGCUGACUUGCUAUGUCCGGGUCUCUUUCCUUCCACACUUUCUCUGUCAUUUGUUCUUCUUCUCUUCUUCCUCCUCCAAGCCCUUUGCUGCUACUGUCCGCACAAUCUCUUCCUGUCUUGGAUGGCUGCUCUCUGUUCUCUCUUUUUCUUGGGUUCUGUCUCUUUCUCUCCUUCUCUGGUGUUUCUCUGAACGUUUUCUGGUGCCUAUUGAUUGGGGACCAAUAGGAUGUCUCUCUCUGUUGAAAUGGUCACUUGGACUCAAACUAUGACUUCUUCCCUAUUUUUCCGCAGGAAUGCACUUUGUCUUGAGUAGGGCUUGCUGGGAGGAAGUGAUGGGGAGUGAACACGGUUUUCUUUUGCAUGCGGCACGGUUCUCUCCCUUCUACCAGACACCUAGAGGGAGAUGAGGCUGGGACCAUGCCGAAUUAUCUUUGCCUCUGAGAUGAUACUGGGCUGUGUUUUAGAGAGUUACUUUCAGGGAAACAAAUCCCAAGAAGGGGGCACAAUAUGACUUUGCAGUUCAGACACGGUUAUCAUUUUGGGAUUUCAGAGAGCAGUUUACUAGAGAGAAAAAUCCUCAUUUCAGGCAGUUAUAGCUUUUCACUACCACAGGUCCCUACUGAUGGUAUCAAAAGAAAAGUAAACAACAGGAAAAAAUGGUUCCCUUUCUCCUGAGGUCUGUGUGGCCCCUUGUCCGCCUGUACUCGCCACACUGGGGUUGUGGAAAGUGGACUGAAUUGAUCUAAGCUUGUGGAACUAAUCUGCACCCUAAACCGACAAAGGCACGGACCAAGGCAUCAAACAGUGAAAUAGUCGGGUGGUAAGGCUGUUUGAAGUCGGCAGACAGCGUGAGUUCAAGGUAGCCAGGAAGAGCUCCAGCUUCUUAUCUGGGUGUCAAAACAUUUUUAAUUUUUUUGGUCAGUGAUGAUAAGCACUGUGGACUCAGGCUCAGGAGGUUUGGCUGCUAGUUCACAACUAGGUCUGUUUCUCUGGUUUUUGUUUGUUUUUUGUUUUCUUUUGAGACUCCAUUACCCAGGCUGGAGUGCAGUGGCA